rnacentral:rRNA from 1 species
CAGUAGCCGCGGUAGUACGUAGGUGGCAAGCGUUGUCCGGAAUUAUUGGGCGUAAAGGGCUCGCAGGCGGUUUCUUAAGUCUGAUGUGAAAGCCCCCGGCUCAACCGGGGAGGGUCAUUGGAAACUGGGAAACUUGAGUGCAGGAGAGGAGAGUGGAAUUCCACGUGUAGCGGUGAAAUGCGUAGAGAUGUGGAGGAACACCAGUGGCGAAGGCGACUCUCUGGUCUGUAACUGACGCUGAGGAGCGAAAGCGUGGGGAGCGAACAGGAUUAGAUACCCCUGUAGUCCCUGUCUCUUAUAC